CUUCCCCCUCCUUCCUAGGGCUUUAGCGCCUGUUUUAAUUAGAAACCUCGUCCGCCCUCGGUGACUCUGUCCUCUGAUCGCGGCUACUGACCACGUGUGCUCGACGUCCUCUGCGCUAAGAGGCUUAUCGCGGGAACGGCGAAUUUCGGUUGCACUAAAGAUGUAGUCAGUUGCUUAAGGGAUGUGAUCCCAUUUGUACAGUAGCCAGGCAGAAGUAGUGUUUAGAAAAGUCAUGCAUAGUUAAAUUUUCUUUUAGUUAUAUUUUUAAUUCUAAAGAUUCUGGUUUCCUUCGCGCAUCCGCGAAUUUUCGGUGCGCGUCAUCCUGAUGUCGGCGCGAGACACCUCGCGAGCCCGGUUUCCACACCCUGUUUGACAGGGUCGAAGUUACGGAGGAGAGAAAUUGCUCCCCGCAUGAUCUUCGGGACCUCCAGCUGAUCCCCCCCCCCCCCUGCUUAGAAGAGUUUGGCCGGCAGUCCGAGGUCAUUCUGGAAAGACCCGGGUGAUAUGGGGAAACGUGAUCAGAUGGGCUCCCUGCUGAGUCCGCUGCUUGCCGUGACUCGACGUGUGGAAGUCCGCGUGGCUCAUCCACAGUGCUGGCCGCUCACCACGUCCAGUGUUCGGCGAGUUGGCAGAGCAUCGCCGUGUUGCGAGACGAGUGCGAGUGCUCGAGCAGCCGUGGCUGUGCUCUCUGCUCCGGCCGCGAGAGCGACACACGGCGCUUCAGCUGCGACACAGGUCGACUCUGAGGGGCGACUGAAAUGUUGCCCCUUGGAUGGGCAGCCCUUCAGGAUU